rnacentral:rRNA from 1 species
UACAGAGGGUGCAAGCGUUGUUCGGAAUUAUUGGGCGUAAAGCGCGUGUAGGCGGCUUUGCAAGUCGGGUGUGAAAGCCCUCGGCUCAACCGAGGAAGUGCGCCCGAAACUGCAGAGCUUGAGUACCGGAGAGGAUGGCGGAAUUCCCGGUGUAGAGGUGAAAUUCGUAGAUAUCGGGAGGAACACCGGUGGCGAAGGCGGCGAUCUGGGUAGAUACUGACGCUGAGGUGCGAAAGCGUGGGGAGCAAACAGG